rnacentral:rRNA from 3 species
CCAAGGAGUCUAGCAUGUGCGCGAGUCAUUGGGACUCUAACGAAACCUAAAGGCGCAAUGAAAGUGAAGGUUCGCCACGCGCGAACCGAGGGAGGAUGGACGGUCGAUCGUGGCCGUCCCGCACUCCCUGGGCGUCUCGUUCUCAUCGCGAGAAGAGGCGCACCAAGAGCGUACACGCUGGGACCCGAAAGAUGGUGAACUAUGCCUGGUCAGGACGAAGUCAGGGGAAACCCUGAUGGAGGUCCGUAGCGAUUCUGACGUGCAAAUCGAUCGUCGGAACUGGGUAUAGGGGCGAAAGACUAAUCGAACCAUCUAGUAGCUGGUUCCCUCCGAAGUUUCCCUCAGGAUAGCUGGCGCUCGCUUCUCGCGAGUCUCAUUCGGUAAAGCGAAUGAUUAGAGGCAUUGGGGUCGAAACGGCCUCAACCUAUUCUCAAACUUUAAAUGGGUGAGAUCUCCGGCUUGCUUGAACUGUGAAGCCGCGAGAUAUCGGAUCAGAGUGCCAAGUGGGCCACUUUUG